CAGGGAGACAACAAAAUGUUUAAUAUUAUAAUUUUGUCACCUUAGGUCGAUCGGUAUCUCACGUUCUUAAUUAGUUAAGAAUUUCAUUUCCUAAGUUUUUCUAGGUCACACCCAUUAUUUUUCCUGGGCCAUUAGCUCAGGUGGUUAGAGCGCACCCCUGAUAAGGGUGAGGUCCCUGGUUCAAGUCCAGGAUGGCCCAUAUCUCUAUGUUGGGGGUAUAGCUCAGUUGGUAGAGCGCCUGCUUUGCAAGCAGGAUGUCAGCGGUUCGAGUCCGCUUACCUCCACUGAUUACCACCUCUUCCAUAACCGGUAGAAAGGAAAUGUUUUGAGUUGUGAUCAUUAUUCUGAACGAAUCUAGCUUCCUAAUGAAACCAUUAAGAUGCUGGACUCAUUGAAUUAAUUUCAUUGUUUUCAGAGAACCUUGACAACUGCAUAGAUUUUUUUAAAGACAAUAAGCAUCUCUAAUGAUGCAGAUUUAUUAUUUGUGCGAAUGCAUUAAUAACAAUUCUAUUAAGCUGAUGCUUCAAUUUUUGAAGUUAUU
rnacentral:tRNA from 1 species